UUUCUUUCUGGAGGUUCCUCCUUGAUGAUGGUUUCCCCUAUGAACCUGGAAUCUUCUGAUACAGAAAUCCUGUUGCAGGAUUUUCCCAUCACAUCUGAGGAAAAGGCACGUGCAAUAUCCUGACUGCAUCUUCAUGAUAGCUGGGAGACCUGCUCAGAAGCCUGCGGAGCUUUGUGCUUCCACAGCAGGCAAAGGAAACUUCUUCUGAUGGAAACUUUCUGCUGUUCAGCCCCCCCUCCGCCUCUGCCUGCCAAAAGGAAAUCAAGGAGGCAGGACAGAAAAAAAAUGCUUUCACCUCUGACUGCUGAUGCCCUGCCCUUUGCAAAGCAGAACAAGACCCUGUUUGUCCUGGCUCCGUUUCUCAGUGCACCUUCAGAAGGUGCAAGAGCUUCUGAAAUGUCUUUCUGCUCAACGGAAAGGAGUGAGGGGUUGUAAUCUGAGCACAAAGCAGGCUCCCCAUGUGGAAAGUUAAAUGUCCCGACUUCCUGAUAUGUAAAUUCUUGUUUGCUCACACUGUUCGUGUAAAAGUAGUAUCUCAUCUCUAGAAUGCACUUCCAGCCUGACUGCAACCCUGCAUUUCUUUGUGUGCUGGGGGAAAUAGGGAGACAUGCA